rnacentral:rRNA from 1 species
GAACGAACGCUGGCGGCGCGUCUUAAGCAUGCAAGUCGAACGGCAAGAGGUAGCAAUACCUCCUAGAGUGGCGGACUGGUGAGUAACACGUGGGUGACAUACCCUUCAGAUGGGGAUAGCUAUAGAAAUAGUAGAUAAUACCGAAUACGAGCACAGGGGUUAGAGAUCUGUGAGGAAAGGAGCUAAGGCUCCGCUGAAGGAAUGGCCUGCGGCCCAUUAGCUAGUUGGUGAGGUAAGACGCCCACCAAGGCGAUGAUGGGUAUCCGGCCUUAGAGGGUGAACGGACACAUUGGGACUGAGAUACGGCCCAGACUCCUACGGGAGGCAGCAGCUAAGAAUAUUCCGCAAUGGACGAAAGUCUGACGGAGCGACGCCGCGUGGAUUGAAGAAGGCCGGAAGGUUGUAAAAUCCUUUUGAAACUGAAGAAUAAGCGUUGUAGGGAAUGACAGCGUGGUGACAGUAGGUUUUGAAUAAGCAACGGCUAAUUACGUGCCAGCCGCAGC